rnacentral:rRNA from 1 species
CAAUAGCGUAUAUUAAAGUUGUUGCGGUUAAAACGCUCGUAGUUGGAUUUCUGUCAGGGGCGUCCGGUCCGCCCUUUGGGCGUGUAUCUGGUUCGACUUUGGCAUCCUCUUGGGGAAUGUAUUGCGCUUCACUGCGUGAUGCAGAAUUCAAGACUUUUACUUUGAGGAAAUUAGAGUGUUUACGGCAGGCAAACGCCUUGAAUACAUUAGCAUGGAAUAAUAAGAUAAGACUUGGGUCAUUAUUUUGUUGGUUUGCGGAUCGAGGUAAUGAUUAAUAGGGAUAGUUGGGGGUAUUCAUAUUUAAUUGUCAGAGGUGAAAUUCUUGGAUUUAUGAAAGAUGAACUUAGGCGAAAGCAUUUACCAAGGAUGUUUUCAUUAAUCAAGAACGAAAGUUAGGGGAUCGAAGACGAUCAGAUACCAU